UACAGGGGGUGCAAACGUUGCUCGGAAUCAUUGGGCGUAAAGCGCACGUAGGCGGUCUGUUAUGUCGGAUGUGAAAGCCCUCGGCUUAACCGGGGAAGUGCAUCCGAAACUGGCGAGCUUGAGUACUAAAGAGGGUCGCGGAAUUCCCGGUGUAGAGGUGAAAUUCGUAGAUAUCGGGAGGAACACCAGCGGCGAAGGCGGCGACCUGGGUAGAUACUGACGCUGAGGUGCGAAAGCGUGGGGAGCAAACAGG
rnacentral:rRNA from 1 species